rnacentral:rRNA from 1 species
CGCUGGCGGCGCGCCUAACACAUGCAAGUCGAACGAGCGAGAGGGAGCUUGCUUUCUCGAGCGAGUGGCGAACGGGUGAGUAACGCGUGAGGAACCUGCCUCAAAGAGGGGGACAACAGUUGGAAACGACUGCUAAUACCGCAUAAGCCCACGGCUCGGCAUCGAGCAGAGGGAAAAGGAGCAAUCCGCUUUGAGAUGGCCUCGCGUCCGAUUAGCUGGUUGGUGAGGUAACGGCCCACCAAGGCGACGAUCGGUAGCCGGACUGAGAGGUUGAACGGCCACAUUGGGACUGAGACACGGCCCAGACUCCUACGGGAGGCAGCAGUGGGGAAUAUUGCACAAUGGGGGAAACCCUGAUGCAGCGACGCCGCGUGGAGGAAGAAGGUCUUCGGAUUGUAAACUCCUGUUGUUGAGGAAGAUAAUGACGGUACUCAACAAGGAAGUGACGGCUAACUACGUG